rnacentral:rRNA from 1 species
GACGAACGCUGGCGGCGUGCUUAACACAUGCAAGUCGAACGGUGAAGCGCCUUCCUUUUUGGUGGGUGUGGAUGAGUGGCGAACGGGUGAGUAACACGUGAGUAACCUGCCCCCUUCUGCUGGAUAACCGCAUGAAAGUGUGGCUAAUACGGGAUAUUCUGAGUCUGUCGCAUGAUGGGUCUGGGAAAGAUAUUGUUUCGGUGGGGGAUGGGCUCGCGGACUAUCAGCUUGUUGGUGUGGUGAUGGCCUACCAAGGCGGUGACGGGUAGCCGGCCUGAGAGGGUGGGCGGCCCUGCUGGGGAGACGCGGCCGAGAAGCCUCCUAGGGGAGGCAGCAGGGGGUAUUCCGGCACGGUGGGAGGAAGCCUGGUGCAGCGCCGCCGCGGGGGGGAUGGAGUCCUUCGGGUUGUGAACCUCUUUCGGCAGUGAAGCUGGGCGGCCUCGUUUGUGGGUGGGUUGACGGUAGCUGGAUAAGAAGCGCCGGCUAACUACGUG